GUCCGCCCGGGGCUCACGGGGGCCCGGGACGGCCGCUGGUUGGCUCGCGCGCCGCCCUCGCCUCCAAUCCCCGGUGCCUGCCCUAAUUUCCUGAUCUGGGGAACCUGCCGCCCGCCGCAGCAGCUGCGCGCUCCCUACGGUCGUGACUGUACCCGCCCGGCAGCCGUGACCGUGAAUGCAGCGGCGGCGGCAGUGGUUAGCGCUGAUGCAACUAUUGCUGCUAUUGCCACCGCCUUCCCGCUAACAGGCUGGCAGCCGGGGGGACACGCAGCUUCCGAGGGCAACGCGCAUCCCCGUCUGUCUCUCCCACCCUCCGCUGCGCCCCAGAGAGGCCGGUGCCGAGAGGCUGGCCCUGUACACGAGUAAAUGGGGCAGCAGAGGUAAUCCUCAAGCCGGGAGUUUGAAGCACCAUUACUGCGUUUUCUACCCUCUGGCUGUGCCACAGCGAGAAGUGAAGUGAACGUUCCCCUUUCAAGGGAUUCUGUAACUUCUGGGGCCUCUGCUGUAUCCUUUUCUGAUUGAGUGACAGGCCAGUGACGUGCGUGGGAUUCACCCCCUUCCCAGGGCCUGAUGGUCAUGAACUCUAGCUUCUGUCAGAUAGCACCUAGGCCCCGCCCCGGACUUCCUGUUUCAGCAGGUCUGGGACGGGGCCUGAAGACUGGUAUUUGCGUCACUGUCCCAGCUUGUGCUGAGGCACUAGUCAGGGAACACACUUCGAGAACCAGUAUUGUAAACCCCUCAACGUAACUUACUCCCCGCCCUGCCCUCAGCCACUGUGAUCGAUUCAAGGCCCUCAACCAGUCAGCCCAUGGCCUUCUGGCCACACUGCUGGGAUGCUUGAGCCCUAAGCGUAUGACUCUGGUCUGUCCACUUACAGUGAAGUUCGGGACUUGGGCUUGGUUAGAAAGGCACCGUUUUGAAGCAACGUGGUGUAUGGACAUUUGGCCGGAACUUGUAGAGUCCUUGGGCCACAGAGAAGGAAGCCAAUUUGAAGGCCGACUGACUCGUGGAGAGGAGGAGGCUCAGAGAAGCAGAGAGAUGGCGCCCAACCUUGACCUCCAGCCUGAGCCGACUAGGACUCCGUAGGACUUCUCACUUACCUGAGCCAAUAAAUUCCCUUUGUUGCAUAA